AGAGUUUGAUCAUGGCUCAGGAUGAACGCUAGCUACAGGCUUAACACAUGCAAGUCGAGGGGCAGCAUGAAACUUAGCUUGCUAAGUUUUGAUGGCGACCGGCGCACGGGUGAGUAACACGUAUCCAACCUACCGUUUACUACGGGAUAGCCUUCUGAAAAGGAGAUUAAUACCGUAUGGUAUUCUAAAGUUUCAUGACAUUAGAAUUAAAGGUUUACCGGUAAUCGAUGGGGAUGCGUUCCAUUAGAUAGUAGGCGGGGUAACGGCCCACCUAGUCAGCGAUGGAUAGGGGUUCUGAGAGGAAGGUCCCCCACAUUGGAACUGAGACACGGUCCAAACUCCUACGGGAGGCAGCAGUGAGGAAUAUUGGUCAAUGGGCGAGAGCCUGAACCAGCCAAAGUAGCGUGAAGGAUGACUGCCCUAUGGGUUGUAAACUUCUUUUAUAAAGGAAUAAAGUGGUCCACGUGUGGAUUUUUGUAUGUACUUUAUGAAUAAGGAUCGGCUAACUCCGUGCCAGCCGCCGC
rnacentral:rRNA from 1 species